rnacentral:rRNA from 1 species
GACGAACGCUGGCGGUGUGCUUCACACAUGCAAGUCGAACGAGGUAGCAAUACCUAGUGGCGGACGGGUGAGUAACGCGUGGGAACCUGCCUUUAGAUGGGGGAUAACGGGCCGAAAGGUCCGCUAAUACCGCAUAUGCCGCAAGGUGAAAGGAGUAAUCCGUCUAAAGAUGAGCCCGCGUCCGAUUAGCUAGUUGGUAGCGUAAGAGCCUACUAAGGCGACGAUCGGUAGCUGGUCUUAGAGGAUGAUCAGCCACAAUGGGACUGAGAUACGGCCCAGACUCCUACGGGAGGCAGCAGUGGGGAAUUUUACGCAAUGGGGGAAACCCUGACGUAGCGACACCGCGUGAGCGAAGAAGCCCUUUGGGGUGUAAAGCUCUGUCAGCUGGAACGAAAACAAUGACGGUACCAGCAGAGGAAGCAUCGGCUAACUACGUGCCAGCAGCCGCAGUAA